rnacentral:tRNA from 1 species
AUCCCUACCCUAAUUUUAAUCACUCGCUGAGGCAACCAAGCCGAACGCCUAAACGCAGGUGUAUAUUUCCUUUUCUACACUCUCGCCGGAUCUUUACCCCUACUUAUCGCACUCCUCCUCCUUCAAAACAGUGCUGGCACCCUCUCACUUUUAACCCUCCAAUACUCAAACCCAACAGAAUUAACAUCCUACGCACACAAACUAUGAUGAGCUGGCUGUCUUCUAGCCUUCCUAGUAAAAAUACCCCUGUACGGAAUACAUCUCUGACUCCCAAAAGCACAUGUUGAAGCCCCCAUCGCCGGAUCAAUAAUCCUAGCUGCCGUACUCCUCAAAUUAGGAGGCUACGGCAUAAUACGAAUAAUUGUAAUACUUGAGCCCCUCACCAAAGAAUUAAGCUACCCCUUUAUUAUUUUCGCUUUAUGAGGGGUUAUUAUAACCGGCUCCAUCUGCUUACGUCAAACAGACCUAAAAUCUCUUAUUGCUUACUCCUCUGUAAGCCAUAUAGGACUAGUUGUUGGGGGUAUUCUCACCCAAACUCCUUGAGGCUUCACCGGAGCCUUAAUUCUCAUAAUCGCCCACGGACUAGCAUCCUCUGCACUUUUCUGCCUAGCCAACACUAACUACGAACGGACCCACAGCCGAACCAUACUAUUAGCCCGAGGACUACAGAUGGCCCUCCCCCUUAUAACAGCCUGAUGAUUUAUCACAAGCCUCGCUAACUUGGCACUCCCUCCCCUGCCUAACCUGAUAGGAGAACUUAUAAUCAUCACUGCCCUAUUAAACUGGUCCUGAUGAACCAUCAUUUUAACUGGGACAGGUACACUUAUCACAGCAAGCUACUCCUUGUACAUGUUCCUUAUAACGCAACGGGGCCCUCUCCCAGCCCACAUCGUAGCCCUCCUCCCCUCUUACACACGAGAGCAUCUACUUAUGACCCUACACCUUGUUCCCCUACUAUUACUUAUCCUGAAGCCUGAACUAAUCUGAGGGUGAGCCACAUGCAAGCAUAGUUUAAACAAAAUAUUAGAUUGUGAUUCUAAAGACAGGGGUUAGAAUCCCCUUGCCCGCC